GUGGCCCAGAUUUCCUGGAUUUUUUCUUUCUGUAUUUUUUUAUUAUUAUUUUUAGAUUUAACGUGUUCUUUGACUGAGCUAUCCAUUUCUUCAGCAGUUUCCUCAAGCCCUGCACUUCUCUCUCCCAUGCCCUUAGCUGCUGCCCAGGCUUCCCGCCGAGCUCUCUGCCUGGCAUCCUGAGCCUUUUACUUCCCAUUUGUUGGACUUUGGGGUCUCUUGGUGAUUCAGCUUCUGUGUUGACUCUGCGGUCGUGCUGUAGGUUGCCUUCAUCGUUCCAGUUGGUGCCUUCAGUCUUCACGAGGACUUGGCCGGUUCCCCUUUAAGGCUCUUGAACGUAUUCCUAAUGGCUGUGUUGGGGUUCUUGUCCUGUGCUUCAGCUGAGUUGCUGUUUUCAGGCUCUGUUGCAGUACGGUUGUUGGCUUUUGGAGGACAAAUAUUAUCUUGGCCCUUCAUAUUUGUGCUUUGUGCUAGGAUCCAGGUAAACGGAGUUAAGAUGCUUGAAGUGUUUCUGGGUGUGGCUGUCUGGUCUUCUCUUUGUUGGGUGUGUGCUUUCUUCUUUGGUCUCCAUUGCCCACUCAGGAUCUUAGCCAAGUGCGGUGACUAAGGGGUCCCUGUUGGGAGAGUUCUGUGAGUCAGAGGGUGUCACAAAAGGAUGGAGCUGGGCUAGAGGAGAAGGAGAGCAGGAAAGAGCUGAGGGCCCAGGGUCUGCACCAGGAGGUGAAUCCCAGGAGAUGGGGGUGAGCUGAGGGCCCAGGGUCUGCACCAGGAGGUGAAUCCCAGGAGAUGGAGGUGAGGGCCCAGGGUCUGCACCAGGAGGUGAAUCCCAGGAGAUGGGGGUGAGGUGAGGGCCCAGGGUCUGCACCAGGAGGUGAAUCCCAGGAGAUGGGGGUGAGGGCCCAGGGUCUGCACCAGGAGGUGAAUCCCAGGAGAUGGGGGUGAGGUGAGGGCCCAGGGUCUGCACCAGGAGGUGAAUCCCAGGAGAUGGGGGUAAGCUGAGGGCCCAGGGUCUGCACCAGGAGGUGAAUCCCAGGAGAUGGGGGUGAGGUGAGGGCCCAGGGUCUGCACCAGGAGGUGAAUCCCAGGAGAUGGGGGUGAGGUGAGGGCCCAGGGUCUGCACCAGGAGGUGAAUCCCAGGAGAUGGGGGUAAGCUGAGGGCCCAGGGUCUGCACCAGGAGGUGAAUCCCAGGAGAUGGGGGUGAGGUGAGGGCCCAGGGUCUGCACCAGGAGGUGAAUCCCAGGAGAUGGGGGUGAGCUGAGGGCCCAGGGUCUGCACCAGGAGGUGAAUCCCAGGAGAUGGGGGUGAGCUGAGGGCCCAGGGUCUGCACCAGGAGGUGAAUCCCAGGAGAUGGAGGUGAGGGCCCAGGGUCUGCACCAGGAGGUGAAUCCCAGGAGAUGGGGGUGAGCUGAGGGCCCAGGGUCUGCACCAGGAGGUGAAUCCCAGGAGAUGGGGGUGAGGUGAGGGCCCAGGGUCUGCACCAGGAGGUGAAUCCCAGGAGAUGGGGGUGAGGUGAGGGCCCAGGGUCUGCACCAGGAGGUGAAUCCCAGGAGAUGGGGGUGAGGGCCCAGGGUCUGCACCAGGAGGUGAAUCCCAGGAGAUGGAGGUGAGGUAAGGGCCCAGGGUCUGCACCAGGAGGUGAAUCCCAGGAGAUGGGGGUGAGCUGAGGGCCCAGGGUCUGCACCAGGAGGUGAAUCCCAGGAGAUGGGGGUAAGCUGAGGGCCCAGGGUCUGCACCAGGAGGUGAAUCCCAGGAGAUGGGGGUGAGGUGAGGGCCCAGGGUCUGCACCAGGAGGUGAAUCCCAGGAGAUGGGGGUGAGGUGAGGGCCCAGGGUCUGCACCAGGAGGUGAAUCCCAGGAGAUGGGGGUGAGGGCCCAGGGUCUGCACCAGGAGGUGAAUCCCAGGAGAUGGGGGUGAGGUGAGGGCCCAGGGUCUGCACCAGGAGGUGAAUCCCAGGAGAUGGAGGUGAGCUGAGGGCCCAGGGUCUGCACCAGGAGGUGAAUCCCAGGAGAUGGGGGUGAGGUGAGGGCCCAGGGUCUGCACCAGGAGGUGAAUCCCAGGAGAUGGAGGUGAGGUAAGGGCCCAGGGUCUGCACCAGGAGGUGAAUCCCAGGAGAUGGGGGUGAGCUGAGGGCCCAGGGUCUGCACCAGGAGGUGAAUCCCAGGAGAUGGGGGUGAGCUGAGGGCCCAGGGUCUGCACCAGGAGGUGAAUCCCAGGAGAUGGGGGUGAGCUGAGGGCCCAGGGUCUGCACCAGGAGGUGAAUCCCAGGAGAUGGGGGUGAGGUGAGGGCCCAGGGUC